CAGAAUAUAGUUUAAUAGAAUCUUAGCUUUGGGAGUUAAGGGUAGGUGUUGAAGUCACCUUUUUCUGA
rnacentral:tRNA from 2 species